UCGUCUGCAUUAUGAAGUGUCUUCCCCGUCCGUCAGAAAGGAAGUCAAAAAAAAGGUGACAGGGGAAAGAGUUGGUUGCUUCUAUAAAUGGUGAGCACUUGCAAACUUAUUCCUGGAACUAUACAGAUUGACGAUAUUGCUCUGACUGACAUAUGAUUGGAGCCCCUACUAUGGUUACACUAGGGUUACACGUCUACUGUUGACUAGCCUAUGUAAGACUGAACAAGCAUCAGCAGUGCAGAUGGAUUCUACAGAAUGGAUGAUGUAAAUGGGCAAAGUUUGGCAUGGUUCUCUGGCCUGUUAGUGUUAUCGACGUGACUUUAGAGUACAUUGCCUAUGAAAACUGGGCCAAAAACUGACGUGUGUGUACCGUCUUUAUUGCAUGAUCGCCUGCUAUCGAAUGGUUGUUGUUGUUUGUGUUGUUUAUUUGAU